GACGAACGCUGGCGGCGUGCUUAACACAUGCAAGUCGAACGGAAAGACCCUGCUUUUGUGGGGUGCUCGAGUGGCGAACGGGUGAGUAACACGUGAGUAACCUGCCCUUGACUUUGGGAUAACUUCAGGAAACUGGGGCUAAUACCGGAUAGGAGCUCCUGCUGCAUGGUGGGGGUUGGAAAGUUUCGGCGGUUGGGGAUGGACUCGCGGCUUAUCAGCUUGUUGGUGGGGUAGUGGCUUACCAAGGCUUUGACGGGUAGCCGGCCUGAGAGGGUGACCGGCCACAUUGGUACUGAGAUACGGCCCAGUCGCCUACGGGAGGCAGCAGUGGGGAAUAUUGCACAAUGGGCGGAAGCCUGAUGCAGCAACGCCGCGUGCGGGAUGACGGCCUUCGGGUUGUAAACCGCUUGCGCCUGUGACGAAGCGUGAGUGACGGUAAUGGGUAAAGAAGCACCGGCUAACUACGUG
rnacentral:rRNA from 1 species